CGAUGGGCCAACCCUUCUGCCCGCCCCCGUUUUUUGUCUCUGCUCACCCAAUGAAAAUGGUCUUGCUACACUCCUGGAAAAGGUGCAGGUCUAAGAAAGAUGGAAGGGAAACUAUAAGGAGCCUUGAGCAGAUUCCUUCUGGACUGGAAGGUCAUCUAUCAACAUUGGAGUGAGGGAAAUGCUCUAGUCGUGGCCAUUGCAACCUGAAGGCACUUUGAUCAACAUUCAAGGGAUCCCAAAUUCACUGCUCAUUCUUUGAUGCAUCUCUGAAUAUUCCUCAGGACUGCAAGAUUUAUGAUGCUUCCAUUUUCCUGAGAAGCUGUCAUUCUCUGUGUACUUAUGCCUUGUCUCAUUUUACUCCUCAUUCAUCUGUCAUUUCACUCUUCUGCACAAAAUGUAUUGUUCACCUUUCUGAAGCUGCUCAACAUGGAAAGGCUUCCCUGCACUCCUCUUUCCCCUACAAUAAACCUCAUCUAU